GGAGCUUGCUCCCCGGGUGACGAGCGGCGGACGGGUGAGUAAUGUCUGGGAAACUGCCUGAUGGAGGGGGAUAACUACUGGAAACGGUAGCUAAUACCGCAUAACGUCGCAAGACCAAAGAGGGGGACCUUCGGGCCUCUUGCCAUCAGAUGUGCCCAGAUGGGAUUAGCUAGUAGGUGGGGUAAUGGCUCACCUAGGCGACGAUCCCUAGCUGGUCUGAGAGGAUGACCAGCCACACUGGAACUGAGACACGGUCCAGACUCCUACGGGAGGCAGCAGUGGGGAAUAUUGCACAAUGGGCGCAAGCCUGAUGCAGCCAUGCCGCGUGUGUGAAGAAGGCCUUCGGGUUGUAAAGCACUUUCAGCGAGGAGGAAGGUGGUGAGCUUAAUACGCUCAUCAAUUGACGUUACUCGCAGAAGAAGCACCGGCU
rnacentral:rRNA from 1 species